CGUGCCCGGUGCCCAGCGCUCCCGGCGCCGGGACCCUGCGGGCACCGCGCUCCUGCCGCGGCCAAACUUUUCCGCACAUGUGGUACUUCCGAGGAGGAACCUCUCACAAACAAAUGUCACGAUCUUGGAAUAAAAAGUAUAGUUGCGCAGAGGCUACAAACAAGGCUCUUUUUAAUAUCUCGUCUAUCCAGCGAUACACGUACGCUGUGGGUAAAUGGGCGAGCCCCCUCCCUCCCCGCAGCAUUCGGUACAGUAGAUUUUGAGAAAAAGACAAACGAAGCUAUCAGCGGGGAUGAUGUUGAAGAAUGAAGAUAAUAAUGUUGCUAUAGGUGGUACUUCACAUGACAUUAUUUUUCACUGAAUAUUUAAAGAGAUGUUUCGGCAGAGAUGGAUACACUCAGCGCAGGCUGUCACCCUCCGCACCCUGAGACAGUGGGAAAGAAACCGAACCUGAACGCGCAGAAACGCACUCCUUACUCACUGCUAGCCACACGCAGAUGCACACAAAAUACCCACGCGGAUCUAUUUGCACAUUUAUGCCUGUAUUUCUAACUGUAUCAAUCACUCCAUUAGCUUCCUACGGUUUCUAAGCUAGACGAUCUCCCAGAAUUAUUCGCGUUCACAAUUUCAUUAUACUUUUGCCGAUUAAGCUUGAGACAAAUUUCCCCAGAUGCGCAGUACCUUUGCUUCGUGGCUGGAAAAAGGCUGCCGUGGACAGGUAAUUAAAAAAGCAACAACAGCAACAACAAGACGAAAAAGAGUAGCUUAAAGAAAAAGAAAUUAAUUUGGAGAAAUUAAGUUUUACAACUUUUUUUUUUCGUUUCUCUUCUCCUCGCUAGUGCUAAAGCGGCGCCUGGUAUUUCAUCCAAGACCGAUUGAUUAUUUAUUGUUUGUUUUCCUCUCCUUCGCUGGGGGCCGGGAGGGGUGGGGAAUGGGUGGGGGCAGAGCAGCAGUGCCAGGGCUAGAGAAAAAUCGGUCUUUAUUGUUGUUGAUAGCAAUACAUCAAUUAAACGUCAUUGUCUCUAACAGAAGUUGUGAGAGUUCACAAGCGUAAAUACUCUG
rnacentral:lncRNA from 1 species